rnacentral:rRNA from 1 species
GAUGAACGCUGGCGGCGUGCUUAACACAUGCAAGUCGAACGGAAAGGCCCAAGCUUGCUUGGGUACUCGAGUGGCGAACGGGUGAGUAACACGUGGGUGAUCUGCCCUGCACUUCGGGAUAAGCCUGGGAAACUGGGUCUAAUACCGGAUAGGACCACAUUUUGGAUGGUGUGGUGGAAAGUUUUUCGGUGUGGGAUGAGCUCGCGGCCUAUCAGCUUGUUGGUGGGGUAAUGGCCUACCAAGGCGUCGACGGGUAGCCGGCCUGAGAGGGUGUACGGCCAGAUUGGGACUGAGAUACGGCCCAGACUCCUACGGGAGGCAGAAGUGGGGAAUAUUGAACAAUGGGCGCAAGCCUGAUGCAGCGACGCCGCGUGAGGGAUGACGGCCUUCGGGUUGUAAACUCCUUUCGCUAGGGACGAAGCGUUAUGUGACGGUACCUGGAGAAGAAGCACCGGCUAACUACGUG